AGAGUUUGAUCAUGGCUCAGAUUGAACGCUGGCGGCAGGCCUAACACAUGCAAGUCGAACGGUAACAGGAAACAGCUUGCUGUUUCGCUGACGAGUGGCGGACGGGUGAGUAAUGUCUGGGAAACUGCCUGAUGGAGGGGGAUAACUACUGGAAACGGUAGCUAAUACCGCAUAACGUCGCAAGACCAAAGAGGGGGACCUUCGGGCCUCUUGCCAUCGGAUGUGCCCAGAUGGGAUUAGCUAGUAGGUGGGGUAACGGCUCACCAAGGCGACGAUCCCUAGCUGGUCUGAGAGGAUGACCAGCCACACUGGAACUGAGACACGGUCCAGACUCCUACGGGAGGCAGCAGUGGGGAAUAUUGCACAAUGGGCGCAAGCCUGAUGCAGCCAUGCCGCGUGUAUGAAGAAGGCCUUCGGGUUGUAAAGUACUUUCAGCGGGGAGGAAGGGAGUAAAGUUAAUACCUUUGCUCAUUGACGUUACCCGCAGAAGAAGCACCGGCUAACUCCGUGCCAGCAGCCGCGGUAAUACGGAGGGUGCAAGCGUUAAUCGGAAUUACUGGGCGUAAAGCGCACGCAGGCGGUUUGUUAAGUCAGAUGUGAAAUCCCCGGGCUCAACCUGGGAACUGCAUCUGAUACUGGCAAGCUUGAGUCUCGUAGAGGGGGGUAGAAUUCCAGGUGUAGCGGUGAAAUGCGUAGAGAUCUGGAGGAAUACCGGUGGCGAAGGCGGCCCCCUGGACGAAGACUGACGCUCAGGUGCGAAAGCGUGGGGAGCAAACAGGAUUAGAUACCCUGGUAGUCCACGCCGUAAACGAUGUCGACUUGGAGGUUGUGCCCUUGAGGCGUGGCUUCCGGAGCUAACGCGUUAAGUCGACCGCCUGGGGAGUACGGCCGCAAGGUUAAAACUCAAAUGAAUUGACGGGGGCCCGCACAAGCGGUGGAGCAUGUGGUUUAAUUCGAUGCAACGCGAAGAACCUUACCUGGUCUUGACAUCCACGGAAGUUUUCAGAGAUGAGAAUGUGCCUUCGGGAACCGUGAGACAGGUGCUGCAUGGCUGUCGUCAGCUCGUGUUGUGAAAUGUUGGGUUAAGUCCCGCAACGAGCGCAACCCUUAUCCUUUGUUGCCAGCGGUCCGGCCGGGAACUCAAAGGAGACUGCCAGUGAUAAACUGGAGGAAGGUGGGGAUGACGUCAAGUCAUCAUGGCCCUUACGACCAGGGCUACACACGUGCUACAAUGGCGCAUACAAAGAGAAGCGACCUCGCGAGAGCAAGCGGACCUCAUAAAGUGCGUCGUAGUCCGGAUUGGAGUCUGCAACUCGACUCCAUGAAGUCGGAAUCGCUAGUAAUCGUGGAUCAGAAUGCCACGGUGAAUACGUUCCCGGGCCUUGUACACACCGCCCGUCACACCAUGGGAGUGGGUUGCAAAAGAAGUAGGUAGCUUAACCUUCGGGAGGGCGCUUACCACUUUGUGAUUCAUGACUGGGGUGAAGUCGUAACAAGGUAACCGUAGGGGAACCUGCGGUUGGAUCACCU
rnacentral:rRNA from 2 species